GAAAUGAAAGUAAAGGUCGCGGCGCAAGCCCGGCCCACANAGGGGAGAUGUCCGUGGCGUCCCUAGUGUCGCCGACGGAUCGCAUCCCCGGGGCGUCUCGUUGUCAUUGCGACACAGUAGGCGCACCCAGAGCGUACACGUUGGGACCCGAAAGAUGGUGAACUAUGCCUGGUCAGGUCGAAGUCAGGGGAAACCCUGAUGGAGGACCGUAGCGAUUNUGACGUGCAAAUCGAUCGUCAGAGCUGGGUAUAGGGGCGAAAGACUAAUCGAACCAUCUAGUAGCUGGUUCCCUCCNAAGUUUCCCUCAGGAUAGCUGGCGCUCGGAGUAUAAAAUGANAAAAGUGUCGCAGUUGCUUCGCGCAAUGGGCACACUACCAGUCUCAUCUGGUAAAGCGAAUGAUUAGAGGCCUUGGGGCCGAAACGACCUCAACGUAUUCUCAAACUUUAAAUGGGUAAAAAACGCGACUUGCUUAAAUGUAUGAAGUCGUUGUGCGCUUAAUUGUGCACGGUAAAGUGGAUGA
rnacentral:rRNA from 1 species